CGCGGGGUGGAGAAGCCUGGUAGCUCGUCGGGCUCAUAACCCGAAGGUCGUCGGUUCAAAUCCGGCCCCCGCAACCA
rnacentral:tRNA from 1 species